rnacentral:rRNA from 1 species
UACAGAGGUCUCAAGCGUUGUUCGGAUUCAUUGGGCGUAAAGGGCGCGUAGGCGGCGAUCACAGUCAGAUGUGAAAUUCCUGGGCUUAACCUGGGGGCUGCAUUUGAUACGUGGUUGCUUGAGUGGGGAAGAGGGUCGUGGAAUUCCCAGUGUAGAGGUGAAAUUCGUAGAUAUUGGGAAGAACACCGGUGGCGAAGGCGGCGACCUGGUCCUUGACUGACGCUGAGGCGCGAAAGCGUGGGGAGCAAACAGG